AUACUUACCUGGCAGGGGAGAUACCAUGAUCACGAAAGUAGUUUUCCCAGGGCGAGGCUUAUCCAUUGCACUCCAGAUGUGCUGACCCCUGCAAUUUCCCCAAGUGUGAGAAACUAGACUGCAUCAUUUGUGGUAGUGGGGGACUGCAUUUGUACUUUCCCCUG
rnacentral:snRNA from 2 species